rnacentral:rRNA from 1 species
AUGGCAUGGGAAAGGCACCCAUACAACGCUCAUGAUCCAUCAACAGUGCAAGGUGCCUUAGUGCGCCAGAUGUAUCCACUGCCAAUUGGUCCAAAAAAUGAUCAGAAACCGGUAUUGUGUUGGCAGGACUACAAGUGGUCCCCUGGUCCAGAAGUAAGAACAGCGGCUUCCAAAGUAGUGGAAGAAUUUUGGUGUCGUUUUAAGUGUGACCCAUUGGAGCAAGAGAAGGCAAACGGUGUUUUGGAGGAGAACUUAACUAGGAAACUGAAGCAGAUGCUACAUGAGGAAAAGGCGACAGCCAUCAACAAAUUAAGGAAGUAGGGACAAUUGCCUACAGAACUAACAUAAGUGGAUGAGGAUGGUAACCGUUGGCCAACUAAGGAAGCUUUAAUUUCUGCAAAGAGAGUUAACUUUGGUACAGAUGUUGGUUGGCGUCUACUAUGUGAGCACUGGAGUAGUACUGAAUUUAGAGGGUUAUAUUUAACCAACAAGAUGAACAGACUUGCUAAUGGGGACACGAAACUCAAAACCGGGAAAGACCCUGGAAUUUCUGGUGCUUGGCUUCACACGCACAAAUUGCAUCGAGGAACUAAUGAAGAGGAGAUAUACAGCCAAAGAACUGCUGAUCGUUGGGUUAGUAAAAUAUUGCAACUUAGUUCAUUAUAA